CACGUAGGGUGCGAGCGUUGUCCGGAAUUAUUGGGCGUAAAGAGCUCGUAGGCGGUCCGUCACGUCGGAUGUGAAAUUCCAGGGCUCAACCCUGGACCUGCAUUCGAUACGGGCGGACUAGAGUUCGGUAGGGGAGACUGGAAUUCCUGGUGUAGCGGUGAAAUGCGCAGAUAUCAGGAGGAACACCGAUGGCGAAGGCAGGUCUCUGGGCCACUACUGACGCUGAGGCGCGAAAGCGUGGGGAGCAAACAGG
rnacentral:rRNA from 1 species